GGGCCCGUAGCCUAGCCCGGACUAGGGCGCCGGCCUUCGGAGCCGGAGAUCCCGGGUUCAAAUCCCGGCGGGCCCG
rnacentral:tRNA from 1 species